rnacentral:snRNA from 1 species
GAAUAUGAGGACAUAUGACUGAGACAUUUGUCAUUCCAUUGAUCACCAGGGUUGAUUCAAUUGAUGUGGCUAAGUAGAAAAUUCCUUCUUUCUUUUUCACUGUCCCAUGUGUGUACUUCCAAAGCUGCAACCUUAGUCAAAGAGGAUGACUUUCCCAGAAUAAAGACAGACCAUUCUUUAGUCAAAAGUAUAUUAAUAGUGAUGCUCCCUUGCUAGUACCUUCAAACGAAACCCCCUGAGGCAUUAACUAAGGCCAUUUGAGAAUGAGCAAACCUAAUUUUUUCCUCAGUUC